GACGAACGCUGGCGGCGUGCUUAACACAUGCAAGUCGAACGAUGAAGCUGGAGCUUGCUCCGGUGGAUUAGUGGCGAACGGGUGAGUAACACGUGAGCAAUCUGCCCUUGACUCUGGGAUAACUGCGGGAAACUGUAGCCAAUACCGGAUACGACACCUUCGGGCAUCCGAUGGGUGUGGAAAGAAUUUCGGUCAAGGAUGAGCUCGCGGCCUAUCAGCUAGUUGGUGAGGUAACGGCUCACCAAGGCGACGACGGGUAGCCGGCCUGAGAGGGUGACCGGCCACACUGGGACUGAGACACGGCCCAGACUCCUACGGGAGGCAGCAGUGGGGAAUAUUGCACAAUGGGCGCAAGCCUGAUGCAGCAACGCCGCGUGAGGGACGAAGGCCUUCGGGUUGUAAACCUCUUUUAGCAGGGAAGAAGCGAAAGUGACGGUACCUGCAGAAAAAGCACCGGCUAACUACGUGCCAGCCGCCGCCGCGG
rnacentral:rRNA from 1 species